rnacentral:rRNA from 1 species
CAGCCGCCACGGUAAUACGGAGGGUGCAAGCGUUAAUCGGAAUUACUGGGAGUAAAGCGCACGCAGGCGGUCUGUCAAGUCGGAUGUGAAAUCCCCGGGCUCAACCUGGGAACUGCAUUCGAAACUGGCAGGCUAGAGUCUUGUAGAGGGGGGUAGAAUUCCAGGUGUAGCGGUGAAAUGCGUAGAGAUCUGGAGGAAUACCGGUGGCGAAGGCGGCCCCCUGGACAAAGACUGACGCUCAGGUGCGAAAGCGUGGGGAGCAAACAGGAUUAGAUACCCGCGUAGUCCCUGUCUCUUAUAC